rnacentral:lncRNA from 1 species
AAAAACUUCACUUCACAGAAAAAGAUAUAUCACUAACAAACCCAUUGGAGGAAAGCCCUCAAAAACACAAAGCCAUUCAAACCAUAGAGCUACAUAUGUUCGCGUAAUAUCCAAGAACUCAAGAGCGACAAAUUAUUUCGUUGAUUCCGGAUUCAACAUCCUAGAAAUAUCAAGAAAACGUCAAAAAUAUUACAAUAUACGAAAUGCUAAUUCAGAGGAAAACCCACCCAAGAAGAGACCAAAGAAGACCUGCUCAAGGGCCGCGGAUGGGCUCGCGAUCCGACGGCCGCACCGCCAAGCCCAGGCACACUGGCGGUUUCUAGGAUGGGAGCGGUCGGGACUGGAGAAGGCAAUAGUGGCGUUGGCGGGCAGAGGGUUUGAGGGCGACGUUUGGGUGGCACAAAGGGGGAUUCAUCGCAGCUCCGAGGUGAAUAGGAACACGGAAAACGUUCGACGAUACAAGGUUUGCGUUCGCCUCAUGAAGCGGCUGGGGAGGGAAGAGCAUCUGCUCGUGUGACCGUUUGAUUGGGAUCAUACGGUUCUUUUCUUGCUGCAUCUGGAAUUGUGUUCUAUGGUUGGGCUGAAUCACCCCGCGAAUACUAUAAGCGCUCACGGGGCUGGUGAGUGAGGGGCCUUGUACGUGGAGUCCUACACAUCGAUAUCAGACCACGUCACCCUUUAAAUAACUGAUCGGUGAUUUAGUCACAACAAUAAUAAUCCGCAUCUCUAGCUGCUUCAACUAGAUAACGAAGGAUCAUCUUGCGGCGGUAUUCAAACAUCAAAUCUUAUAAUAACACCCACACCUCCGAAACCCACCUCCAUCACUUUCUUGGUCUCUCUCCGUGCCCGCCAUUCUUCUUUUCAUGUCUCUCUCUGAGAUGGCGUCGAGUAUGCAGUCGGCGGGAUUCGAGUUCUAUCCGUGGCCCCAGCAGUUAGUUGUUUCUUCCUCGAGAGGAAGCACCCAUCAACGAAGACGCCAUUCCUGAAGCCAACGUCUACGGAAACAACCACACGAACACCACCGGGAAUUAGUUUCGAUAUGAGCAAUUCUCAUCUUCCUCCUGGCAUUGGUCGCUAGCUCUUCUUGUUAUCUGGCUUCCUUUUUCUUUCUCUCGGUUGAGAUAGAUGUGUUCAUCCGUGGGUUAGGGUUCGAGAAACCAAGAGGUUUCACCCAUGUUUCCUUGUACCGUGCGACGGAUCUGUUGAUGGAUCGGCCUACCUGUAGAUUUUUUCUUUCCUCUUCUUUCUCGGGGUUGGGGUAGAUGCAGUUAAUGUGUUCACCAGUGAGUUAGAAUUCAAGAAACCGAUAUGCUUCAAACAUCUUUCUUUGUUGAUCACCCAUCUUUUUUCCCUCGUCUUCAAGAAACCGAGAGUGUUCUUGAUUAACCUGUUGAUUUCUUAUCACGUGCAGCUGCGUUCCCCAUGAGUAACAGAGAUGGGGAGUAUGAUUAACCUGUUGAUUUCUUAUCACGUGCAGCUGCGUUCCCCAUGAGUAAGGAGUAGUUCUUCACCCAUCACAGCCCUCCGCUGGGCAAC